GACGAAGGUGGCAAGCGUUGUUCGGAAUUACUGGGCGUAAAGAGUUCGUAGGCGGCUUGGUAAGUCAGGUGUGAAAUCCCCCGGCUCAACCGGGGAAUUGCGCCUGAUACUGCUUAGCUUGAGGGCAGAAGGGGAGAGCGGAAUUCCUGGUGUAGCGGUGAAAUGCGUAGAUAUCAGGAGGAACGCCGGUGGCGAAAGCGGCUCUCUGGUCUGCAUCUGACGCUGAGGAACGAAAGCUAGGGGAG
rnacentral:rRNA from 1 species